UCCGAGUUGACCCCGGCAGUCUCCUACGAGUCCCCGGCCGAACCGCUGGCAACAUAGAACGGGGGUUGCGCUCGUUGCGGGACUUAACCCAACACCUCACGGCACGAGCUGACGACAGCCAUGCACCACCUGUGAAGGUGCCCCGAAGGGAGACCGUGUUUCCACGGCUGUCACCUACAUGUCAAGCCCAGGUAAGGUUCUUCGCGUUGCGUCGAAUUGAACCACAUGCUCCGCUGCUUGUGCGGGUCCCCGCCAAUUCCUUUGAGUUUUAAUCUUGCGACCGUAUUCCCCAGGCGGUCUACUUCCCGCGUUAGCUGCGUUACCAAGGAAAUUAAUCCCCGACAACUAGUAGACAUCGUUUAGGGCGUGGACUAC
rnacentral:misc_RNA from 1 species